rnacentral:rRNA from 1 species
GUGGGGAAUCUUCCGCAAUGGACGAAAGUCUGACGGAGCGACGCCGCGUGAGUGAUGAAGGCCUUCGGGUCGUAAAGCUCUGUCAUCGGGGACGAACGGCCUCAGCAGGUAAUGGCUGGGGAUUGACGGUACCCGAGAAGGAAGCCACGGCUAACUACGUGCCAGCAGCCGCGGUAAUACGUAGGUGGCAAGCGUUGUCCGGAAUUAUUGGGCGUAAAGCGCGCGCAGGUGGGAUCUUAAGUCCAUUUUGAAAGUUCGGAGCUCAACUCCGUGAUGGGAUGGAAACUGGGAUUCUUGAGUACCGGAGAGGAAAGCGGAAUUCCCCGUGUAGCGAUGAAAUGCGUAGAUAUGGGGAGGAACACCAGUGGCGAAGGCGGCUUUCUGGACGGUGUCUGACACUGAGGCGCGAAAGCCAGGGGAGCGAACGGGAUUAGAUACCCCGGUAGUCC